AGAGUUUGAUCAUGGCUCAGAACGAACGCUGGCGGCAUGCCUAACACAUGCAAGUCGAACGUGAUCCAGGCCUUCGGGUUUGGUGAAAGUGGCAGACGGGUGAGUAACGCGUGGGAACCUGCCCAAUGGUAGGGAAUAACCGCGGGAAACUGCGGCUAAUACCCUAUGACCCCUGUGGGGGGAAAGAUUUAUCGCCAUUGGAGGGGCCCCGCGUCGGAUUAGGUAGUUGGUAGGGUAACGGCCUACCAAGCCUUCGAUCCGUAGCUGGUCUGAGAGGAUGAUCAGCCACACUGGGACUGAGAUACGGCCCAGACUCCUACGGGAGGCAGCAGUGGGGAAUAUUGGACAAUGGGGGCAACCCUGAUCCAGCAAUGCCGCGUGAGUGAUGAAGGCCUUCGGGUUGUAAAGCUCUUUCGGCGGGGAAGAUGAUGACGGUACCCGUAGAAGAAGCCCCGGCUAACUUCGUGCCAGCAGCCGCGGUAAUACGAAGGGGGCUAGCGUUGUUCGGAAUUACUGGGCGUAAAGGGCGCGUAGGCUGUGCUGUAAGUCAGGCGUGAAAUCCCCGGGCUCAACCUGGGAAUUGCGCAUGAUACUGCGGCGCUUGAAGACGGGAGAGGAUGGCGGAAUUCCCAGUGUAGAGGUGAAAUUCGUAGAUAUUGGGAAGAACACCGGUGGCGAAGGCGGCCAUCUGGCCCGUAAUUGACGCUGAGGCGCGAAAGCGUGGGGAGCAAACAGGAUUAGAUACCCUAGUAGUCC
rnacentral:rRNA from 1 species